rnacentral:rRNA from 1 species
GCGCNGCCUACCAUGCAGUCGAGCGGAUGAAGGGAGCUUGCUCCCUGAUUCAGCGGCGGACGGGUGAGUAAUGCCUAGGAAUCUGCCUGGUAGUGGGGGACAACGUUUCGAAAGGAACGCUAAUACCGCAUACGUCCUACGGGAGAAAGCAGGGGACCUUCGGGCCUUGCGCUAUCAGAUGAGCCUAGGUCGGAUUAGCUAGUUGGUGAGGUAAUGGCUCACCAAGGCGACGAUCCGUAACUGGUCUGAGAGGAUGAUCAGUCACACUGGAACUGAGACACGGUCCAGACUCCUACGGGAGGCAGCAGA